rfam:Triticum aestivum genome assembly, contig: Triticum_aestivum_CS42_TGACv1_scaffold_579175_7BL
CAAGUACUCCCUUCGUCCGGAAAUACUUGUCGCACAAAUAGAUAAAAUUGGAUAUAUCUAGAACUAAAAUACGUCUAGAUACAUCCAUUUCCAUGACAAGUAUUUUUGGACGGAGGAAGUACGGA